GGAAUAUUGCACAAUGGAGGAAACUCUGAUGCAGCAACGCCGCGUGGAGGAUGACGCAUUUCGGUGUGUAAACUCCUUUUAUAUAGGAAGAUAAUGACGGUACUAUAUGAAUAAGCACCGGCUAACUCCGUGCCAGCAGCCGCGGUAAUACGGAGGGUGCAAGCGUUACUCGGAAUCACUGGGCGUAAAGCGCAUGCAGGCGGUUUAUUAAGUUGGAAGUGAAAUCCUAUGGCUCAACCAUAGAACUGCUUCCAAAACUGAUAAACUAGAGUCUGGGAGGGGAAGAUGGAAUUAGUAGUGUAGGGGUAAAAUCCGUAGAGAUUACUAGGAAUACCAAAAGCGAAGGCGAUCUUCUGGAACAGUACUGACGCUGAGAUGCGAAAGCGUGGGGAGCAAACAGGAUUAGAUACCCUGGUAGUCCACGCAGUAAACGAUGAAUGUUAGUCGUUGGGACUCUAGUAGUUUCAGUGAUGCAGUUAACACAUUAAACAUUCCGCCUGGGGAGUACGGUCGCAAGAUUAAAACUCAAAGGAAUAGACGGGGACCCGCACAAGUGGUGGAGCAUGUGGUUUAAUUCGAAGAUACGCGAAGAACCUUACCUAGCCUUGACAUACUACAGAAUUUGACAGAGAUGUUGAAGUGCCUUCGGGAGCUGUAAUACAGGUGCUGCACGGCUGUCGUCAGCUCGUGUCGUGAGAUGUUG
rnacentral:rRNA from 1 species